ensembl:lncRNA
CUCAGUCCUGCUGUGGUGGUGGUAUUUGCCUUUAGCUCAGCUCAAAGAAAUAUUUUCUGAUCCCCUCAGUGCCCUGAGGUCUGCUUGUCACGUUAUAAAUCGUGAGGGAAUGUUUUGUUGUGAGAGAGAAAGGGGAAAAGGAAAGUGAGUGUUGUUUCUGCUGGGCUGCAUAGAGGAGCCAUCAUAGUGUAGAUGCAAAUGUAGACAUGUAGUCACCUGCACCCACACCACCUUGUGCCAUUUAAAAAUAGGGUUCCUCCUCUCCCCCAGUGCAGCAGGUCUCAAGGACUGUUGUGGGAUCACAUAUCUGGUCAGUUAAAAAACCCGCACAUCUCAAUGCUGAUAACCUCAGGGACUCAGUGCUGUAUUUGGAACAGCCGUAUGGCCAGAUGUCUGCAGCGUUCUGGUGUUCUCAAGACUGGGCACUGUGUUCCUUGUCUUUGGAUUUGGGUGAAGGCAAAACACAUCAUCUAAACUCAAUGGCCUUUUCUUAGUCCACAGGUAGAAAUGAAUAAGAAUGCAAUAUAAAAGUAGUCCUAAAGAGUGUUUCGCAUCACUUUCUUGCUCUCUGUUUGUGGCAGACCAUGUACAAUCUGCUCCAUACAGAUAUGUAUAUAUAUAGAGAGAGAUAAAAGGAUGGGUUUGGUAGGGUCUGGUAGGUCGAAGGAGAUAAUGCACCUCAUGUCUGCCCCUGAGCUUUGUAAUUUGCACUGAGAAAUCACUGCCAAAGUUUCCUUCCUUCUCACACCCACUUGCUUCAUUUCCCUUUAGGCCCAGUAGCUUCUUCAUGCAAAGAGAGAUCUCCAGUCCCGUGAGCAAGUUCUGUUUAACCACUGCAUCCUCAACAAAAUGGGCAGUCACCAUCAAGUCAUGUCGUUAAUGAAAGCUUGUGAGGCUGUGGCACUUGAGGGACGGUGAACACAUCCUGAAUAGUUCAAAUAAAUGAACAUCAUGUAGGGCAGUUUAUCUGCCUUGUUGCUUCGAAGGCUGGAGCUUCCUUUCCUGCCCCUCAAAUGUGUCUCUAUGGUCACAUGAUGUGCUUUGUUAUUAAAAGCAACAGUGGCUAUAUGUAUUUCCUGCGUAGCUAUAUGUAAUAGCUAAUGCUCUUUAAUUGGAUAUGGACUUUACGGAGGAAUAUCUACUGUGGUAUUCUGCCUUGAAGGACCUCAGACACGAAACAGCACUUCUGUAUGACAGAGGGAAAGCACUCAGGCAAGCACCAUUAAUCUACCAAAAAGUACUGUGAAUGGUGAAGCGAACUUCAGAAAUUAUACAGUUGGUUCUACAACUCUGUCUCUGGAAAGUUAGCCAAAAUAGAACAAAGUGACAGUUUGCACCUUCAGGUGUACAGGGUCUCCUGCGUAGCAACUCGUUACCCUUGAAGAGUUGUUGCAGAACGCAUGAGGAGUUGAGAGAAGUCUCUGAGAGGCUGGAAGACAGCAUGGACAUGCAAGUUGGGAUGAAAACCACAUCCUGAACUCCCAAAAAAAGAAAGUUGAGAAAGCUACAAGGAAGCUCCUUUCAUCUGUAGAUCCUUUGAGGAGAUUUGUACUGUGUGUACUCACACAGUGCAUGUUGAACAGACAACUAAGAUGCCAGCUCUAAAAAUGUUCCUUCCUAUUCUGUAUCAUUAAGCUAUUGCUAAAUAAUCUAGUAAUUCUCCUGAAAUAUGGCAUGCAGUACAGGAAAGCAAGCUCUCAAAGUCCCUUGUUAUCAUUUCACCAAAGCUCAGAAAAGAGCCCCCAAGGAAGCAGGAUGCCUGAGCUCUGACCCUGCUGGAGCAGAGUGGAGAGACUGAGCAGUGGUUGAGUCACCCCAUUUGAAAACAAAUCUAUAUCUAAUUAGUGAAUCCUUGCAAUAGCCCUGGGAGGUAUAUAAAUAUUGCUGCUCUGUUUUACAGGAAACUGAGAUGGAAGGGGAUGAAUUCUUCUGUGUUAUAAAAAAUGCCAUUAACCAGUUAAAUGAAGGCAAAUUAGCUACUGAUGUGCUUUGAUUGUGCCUUAUAAAGCACAACUUACACCCCACCUGAUUACAAUUUCAGCUUACAUGCUCAUAUUACAGAGUAUUUUUUGUAUUUACUUUUUUUAACCAGUAUUUACCUUUUUUUUGAUCCAGUUCUUUACAUUUUGUUAACUUUCACAGCCUACUAACAGUGGGAGUGUUCUCCGAUCAAAGGAAAAUCACUGACUUGCUGGUAACUAGGUAUCCAUUCACUCCUAAUUCCAGGGAAGUAUGUAAUGCAAGAUGAAAUAAAUAGCAUCUCAACAUAGCACAGCAGAACAAGCAAGGUGCAAAUCUAGGUACACUGGUAAUGUUUAUGAGUGGAGGAUGGAGGGAGUUUUCCUUGUCUCCUUGUGGAGCUGAAAAUAAAAACAAUAUCAAUACAAUAAGUAACGUGGAGGAAAAUUUUUGUGCUCUGAAUAAUAUUGGACUCAUCGGUCUCUUCUUGGUUGAUUGUGAAUUUGGCUGAUCAACUUACUGAGUGAUCAUUUGAGCAUUUUAAAAUAUAUUUCUUUUAGCAAGCAAAAUAAUAUUAUCUGUUGGUGAUUCUGUAAUCAGAUUUGAUAAGAACCACAACACUUUGCUGUUAAGAUGACAGUGCUGCAUAUAUAAUCAUACGAGAAUACCAUGUGUUUCUUGCCACUGCUCAGUCCAGAACACCAUAUUUUCUUGCACUCUCUGCCUUCAUUAUUUAGUAAAAAGAAUUUUUUUCCUUUGAGUGGAUUUCACUUGAAUAUAACCAGAAGACUCACAACUGAUUUUGAACAUCUUGAAGGAACGUAUUAGGCAAAUAAAGUGCACUUUGGGGUUUCCAUAUUGCUGAGUUGAAAGGAAGACAUUUUCAAAUUGGUACAUGCUUGGGAAUGCUAAUGAGCAGUCUUGGAUAUAUGUCUAAAGAGAGAAGUUAGAAUGCUAGUGGGUAGUCAUCUUCUGCAGGCUGUCUGCCUAACACUAGAUAAAAAAAAUAUUUUGAUUGAAAAAGCUUCUUCCUCUGUACAGGGUUUUUCUCUUCCUUUUCCUUUUUAUUUUUAUUUUUUUAAUUUUCCUUUAGUUAAAAAACAAACAAACAAACAAAAAUUUUAAUCUUCCUUGCCCCUUUUUUUUUUCCUUUGAACUAGUAAUUGGGAAAUAACCCCACAUAUUUUUAAAUAUUCGUAUAUAUAUCUGAUACCAUUGACGUUUCCUCCCAUGCAUAUGGUCCAGUCUGUCUUAUUACUUUUUCUAUCUUUAAGAUAAAGACCUUUAAGACCUGAUGACAGCUCAUCACCACUAGUAAAUCCCUGAGCUUUACUAGUGUUAUGCUGGAGGUUCUUCCAGGCCUGAAGUACUCUAUAUAUUUGCCUCCCUCAAAAUGAUGCUAUCAACCUGUAAGACAAAGAACAUCCUAAGAUGCCAAUUGGAAAAGCCUAAAUGUUUACUGGCAAUAUGUCUCUUUUAGAACCUUUAUAGGUGAAUUAUAUGCAGAUAUAUAGAUAGAGGUUUUAUUGAUGCAUCUAUAUAAUCAAUGUUAUGAAAAGAUAGGGUCCAAAUAUCAGACUGUAAGAGAAAAAAAAAAUGAAGAUGUCAGCAUGGAAAAAAUGAUAGGAAGAUUUAAAAAUAUUUAUAAAACAGGAAAGAGAGGAUUAAUUAAGAGCAUGGAGAUUUUCCAUUAUCUUUAUUAAAGGAGUUUAUAUUGAUCCAACAUUGGGAAAAAUAUAAAUGGACAAAAAAAAAAACCAAAAAAAAACUGCUGAGUGAACAAUGAAAUUAUAGUUUCUUAGUUCUGGACCAUCAAAAAGAAAAACCGGUAUCAUCCAAGGUUAAAAGUGACGUAAAACUCCUAAGUGGCCAUAACUGUCCAAACAGGAAGGAAUGAUGGAGUAGUUCAAUUACACCGAACAUAAAUUAAAUACAUUUGUCAACGAAUUCUAAUGGCAAGAUACAGUGACUUUUAUGCAAGUGAAGUCUCCAGAAGUAACUUUUCAUAUAGAUUGACUAGAAGUUUGAGCAGUAUUCAUUAUGUGGAGGAAUCUUUCAGAAGGCAGUAUCACCUUGUAGUUUUCCUACAAUAGGCAUCGUAAUGAGAACCAUCCAUUCUUUUAAAUAGAGCACCCAUACUUUGCUUUCAACAAAAUGGUUAUCUCAUUAUUUUACACGAAUUGUUUCCAAACUUUAUUUCUUUGUAUAAAAAAAUAUAUAUCUGUUAUAUAUUAUGUAGUUGAAUAUGAUUUUACCAUUAGAGAUCUAUACAUCUGGUAUUGCCUUCCUGAAAUCUGUUUUAGUCAUAAUAUAAAUGGUCAUGUUAAACAGUCUUUUGAAAAUGAUCAUGGUAAUGCAUCUAACUUUAUUGAAGUUGUCUUAUGAAGUUAAAAUUAUUUGCUAGUCUCUUUUCAGCCCAGAAAACAAGUUUCUUCUGUAAUCAUUCCAUUACUUUUUAAAAGAGAUCUGACAAGCAUAAACAUUCUCCUUAUCAAACUCCUGAUUGAGAACUGAACUUCUGCACUGCCAGAUAGCCGCUUAUCUUCAACCAACAUAGCAUUCUAAAAAUGUAGCUGGUUGCAGUUAUUAAAAAUUACAUCUGCUGAAGUCUCAGCCCACAGAAUACACCAUAUUUUAUUACAAGACUAUGUCUUCUAGAAAGAUACUUCCUAGUUUAGGAACUGCUGUAUCACUGUUCAACUGUGAGAGUGUACAGGGUAUUGCAUACACCCACAUACAUAUCCAGGACCUCUUACCUAACUACAUUGUUUUUGUAACAUGAUUCUUCUGGUGACUGAAGAAAAGAGACAAUGAGAAUAAAGAAUGCAAAGGUAGAAAGUGUUGCUCUUGAAUUACAAACUAUCAUAGGAUUUCACAGGAAUAAUCUUUUAAAAUCGAGUUAUUGUAGCCUUAGUGCUCCAGUAGUGUUAAUGUGGUUUUAAAGUGUCAAAUACUCAAUUUAAAGGCAUCAAAUAUAAUGUAUUUGCAUCACUAAUUCAUGAUAACUACAGCUAAAACGGGAGACUUUAAGUUCUAAGUCAUAAGCAUCAGGAAUUACAUUUAGGAACAGUAGAAAGUUCAGAUUUCACCCCCUUCAAAGGUCAAAAAGAAAUAAAUAAAAUAAGACACAGCCCUGAACUUUUAUUAAAGCCAGAUCUUGCCUUUUUAUGGUAUUUUUACCUGAGAUCUGUACAAACAUUAAUAACACUAAGUUCUGUAAGCCUUUCAGUCUCCAUUUAACAGAUAGAAGAAGAGGAAUAGAAAAAGUUACUGUCUAAACUCCCAGUGGUACUACUUAGAUGCUACUAAGACAGCACUGCUUUGUUUGAAGUAUUACAGAAUAGCCCAAAUUCCCAAUAAAUUUAACAGAAAAGAUUAAUAAGCCAUUACUAAUGGAGGCAGAUCUGAAGUUACUGAAGAUGCACCCUUAGAAAUUAACCGUCAUGUGCAGUCCCUCACUGGCAAUAGGAGUGGGACUAGAAAGUUCUAUUUGAAUUUUUGUCUUAGAAUUCACACUGAGGAAUGAUUCAGCAUGUAACAAACAUUGGAACAGAUAGCGUACUCUCUGUAUAUACAAAGUAAAGAUUGAUUUGCAGUUUGGAUUUAGUUUGCUUAGUGCAAAAAUCAACUUAACCCAGAUUAUUCUGAAUAGUCAGCCUCUUUAAAGCCAAGCCAAAUUAGACUAACCUAGACAGCAGGUUAAGUCCAACAGCUUGUAUUGGCACUUUGUAAAAUGUCAGCGCAUUAAUUCCGCUCCUUAACUUAUAUACAGAGCUCUCUUAAAAACAUAUUUUUAUCUAGAUCAAUAAUGUACCUGAUAGAAAAAAACAACGACAAAAAACAAAACAAAACAAAACAAAAAAACCCACAUAUGUCUGUACCUUGCAACAGAAUACGCUGUAGGUACACUUCAGUUGUGUCAGAGCACAUAUAUACAUGUGAGUACAAAUGUAAGAAACACCAACUGCAUCAGAUGGAUGGCCUAUCUAGCCUAGUAUUCUGUCUGGCACAGGUAAAAUUACUUAGGAAGAAUAUGCAAACCCUACCAUUUCCACUGGUGGUCUCCCAGAACUCAAAAUAAUUCAGCGGGUGAUGCUAGAAGGUAUAUGUGUGAGUAUCCUGCUUUAGUUUCUGUUUAUGGAUAUUUGGCCAUGAAUUUACCAAAUUCUUUCAUGAACUUUAUGAGGGAACUGGGAUUGUUUGGACUGGAGAAGAGGAGGCUCAAGGAAGACCUUAUUGCUCUUUACAACUGCUUGAAAGGAGGUUGUGAUGAGGUGGGGUUGGCCUCUUCUCCCACAUAAGUAGCAAUACAACUAAAGAGAACAACCUCAAGUUGCACCGGGGAAGAUUCAGAUUGGAUAUUAAGAAAAAUGUCAUCUAAAGAGUGGUCAGGUGCUGGAAUGGGCUGCCCAGGGAGGUAGUGGAGUCAUCAUCCCUGGAGGUGUUCAAGAAAUGUUUAGACGUUGAACAAAGAGUCAUGGUUUAGUGGGGAAAUGGUGAUGGUAGGUGAACAGUUGAGUUAAAUAAUCUCAGAGGCCUUCUUCAACCUUGGACAUAAAUUACCCGAAAAGGUAAUUUCUUUUAUUUACCAGAUCCCAGUGUAAUGCAGAUAAUUUAUCAGAUCCCAGUUUAAUGCAGAUAAUUCCCUCAGUAUUUCCAUAGCCUCCCUCAACAUUCUCAUGAGUUUCAAAUAAGAGAUCAGGAGCACCUUAAGAAUGGUAGAUAGGCCAAAGUGCUAGUGGUGUAUAUUUUAUUGAAGCAUUGGCUUUAAUGUCAGUUUACCAGUUCAUUUUUCCCAAAGCUGUUUUUCACUAGAGUAUAAUAAUUUUGAUCUCUUCAUACUGUCACGGCUUCUUGGUGAAUCUUGAAAAUAUCACAAGGCUAAAUGAGAUCUUAGUUUACCUUUAAAUAGAUUCAAGCAUCUCUAAGACAAAUGUUGUUUAAAUGUGGAGCAGAAAAGGUCUCUGGAAAAAAUAUUUGGAUCUCUGCUGAAGCCACAGCAAGGUUUUCCAUUUCUCCAUUAAUUCAGUAUUCAAGUGCCAGAUUGAAAAUGACUCUUGCUUUCCCUCACAAGGACUACUUUAAAAUGAAAAUGACACUAAAGUACAAGGCAGUAAUUUAUCUCAGGGUGUCUGCUACAUUUUAAUCCUAUUUAUGUCUCUCUUUUCUCCUAUUUACACCAUUCUUCAGUGGCUUUCAUAUGUUUCCCUAAGGUUGUUCACAUCAUGAAAUUUCUGUGGUCUACAUGCAGGGCAAAAGUAUUCAAAGGUAGAUGAAUGUGGAAACCAGAAGUGUUGUCUAUCUUACCUGACAUGCCUCAUGACUAUAGCAUUUAUAGAAGUUCAGCUAUAUCAACCAUACUUGGGAGUAAUAUCAUAGAAUUAGUACAGUGUAGCUCUUUCACAAUCUUGAGAAGUAGUGGACUGUUCCUCAGCUCACAGCAGCACCUGUUGUAAAUAAAAUAGGAUCCUACUGAAGUACUGAAAUUUUAACAAUGUCUUAAUCUGUAGAGAAGAAUGCCCCUUUCCAGCACAAAGAGUAUAGAAACCCAAAUGUAAGUGGAGGAGAGAGCCUGUGGAAUAUGAUGUUGCAAGUUUUCCUCUUGAAACCCUCAGGAACUGUCUACCAUUCAGGCAAGCGUGUAAAUCCUUUCAUCUACAUAGCUUCAGUAGCCUCACUACCAUCUUAGUCUUCAAAACAGAAGUGAACAAAACAGGUCUUCAAAACAGAUCCACCUAUACACGUAUGAACAACACAAAUGAGCCAAAUCCUGUUGGAAGUUGUAGAUUUUCAGGACUUGACAUGAUGGUGCAAAACUUGUUAAUUCCUUACAUUUUUUUUCUCAUGAAUGACAUGAAAAUUUCUCUUACAUACUGCAGUUCUAAAAGAGUGCAAUACUUCUGAGAAGAGAAAGAACAGUUCUUCAGAUUUCUAGCUACUAGAAAAAUUGGAGAGGAAAGAUGCCAUUUUCUAUGAGAAAAGAAGGAUCAAAUCAUCAUUUCCACCAUUCCACAGGGGAAAUGGAAAAGUACAACAUCAGUGAAGCAUUCAUUCUGUACUGAACCACAAUUUGUUUUGCCAAACACUGUGCAGAACUUGAAACUCAAAAGCUGGAAAAACCAGUGCCCAGCACAUGCCUCCCUCCAAAUCUUAUAAGGAUAUUAUGAUAAAUUCAAUGUGGAAGUGCCAUUCUCAGUACUUUUUUGAGUAGGAAAAUUCCCAGAGGGAAAAGAAUAUAUAUAUAAGAAUAUAUGUAUACAGUGAGAGUCAGAUUAGAAAUCUUGUUGUCAGAAGGCAGGACAGAGAUUUCAGAUUGAUCUAGUGAAGGCUAGAGAGUUUCUCUGAGUUAAAGCUAAGGGAGAAAAAAAAAAAAAACAAGAAGAGAAAAAGCACACUAAAUUUACAUGGAGCUGUAGGAUGUAAAUCCAACCUACUUCAAUAGUUUUUGUAGACAGUCAUUUGGAAGAGGGAUGCUAUAGCCAAGAAUGCUUUAGUUUUGUGGGGGAAAAAAAAAAAAAAAAAAAAAGAGCAGCGUUGUUGUUGUUUCAGUUUGCAGUUGUUCUUAUUGUUUGUUUCGUUACCUUAACUCAGCACCAUGAUUGCUUCUAAAGAAAGAAAAUACGUUGGAAAAUCAUAUAAAAGCCACGUUGAUCUGGUCUGUUGUGCUUUCUUUAAAGGGACAGCUCCAUACUUGUUUGCUUUUUCUCCUGCUUCAUAAAUAUAUGAUGAUUUAAAAUGUGCAAUAUGAGGACAUUAAUAAGAAUUAUGUGUAGGAUAGAAGGGGGCAACAGGAGGCAGACCUCGCUGUGUAGAAACUGCUGAGUCUUAGGAAUACUUAGGGCCAUAUUUCUUUUCUGCUGUCACAGGUAACUGCUUGGAACUGUUCUCUCCUGAGGGUGCACAUAAGGCUGGCUUCAUUCUUUACUUACAAUCUAUAGCUAGAUAAGCUGGUAAAGGAAGUGAACCAAUUUUCAGUUAAUGACACUAAAACAAGACUGAGCCAAAAACAUAAAAGUUGUGCUUAGUCUUGAAUUUUUAUAAAAUUGAUUCAGAUAGUCUGACCUAAGCAUUGCUAUUAACAUAGCUGAAUUCAAGGAGCAUAUAUUCAAAGCAAACUUUGAUAUUGAAACUAAAUUAAAAUUGAUUUUGUAAUGGGAAAGCCUUGCAUUCCCUCCUUAGUUAAAAAUCUCACUUCAUACUAAGUAGUCUGGGUUUGACAAGUCAAGGAAAUAAAAUCAGUUAUUUGGGAUGGCAGGCAAGAUCAUCAUGAAGGAGAACUGUGUGGACACAAGAUUAUUGAUAACAAUAAAAAAAUGUAUCACACACAACAUACCAUUCUUUCCUUUGCAGUUGUGCCAUUGCUAGGCAACUGAAAAUGGAUGAGUAGAUUUUAGCUGUAUAUCUAUACCCUUCAUUUGGAGAAUCAUGAAAGGGACUUCUGAAAAACAAACAUCAUGUUUCUGAUCAGGAUCCAAUAUGGCUUUACUGCUACUGAGGACUAGAAAAUGUAUUAUUUCCAAUACUAUAAAUUUUGUUGAUAAACAUCACAGUAUACUUGUAAGACUUUUAAAACAAUGCAGCUUUCUGUUUAGUAACAGAAUAUUUUCUUAAGCAGAUUUUUAUGCUCUCAUUUUUUAUUCACCAUAUUGUAGUAUACAAGUUGUGUAUCCUAUACUUCAUGAAAUCACCAUUGGUGAGUAGAGAGCAUAGUUACUCAGCACUUAAGUUAAAAGUACUCAUAAAAUUUACUUCAGUUGGGACUGUUUGUAUUUCUAACAGGUGGUAACUCUUUUUGCUUAAGUAGGUAACUUAAUGACUUCUCUGUCAUUUAAGAUCUACUGCCAUUCAACACUCAUUACCUUUAAUACAUGCUUUAGCAAACAUUUAACUUCUUAGUUUUAACACUGUUGCAACAGUAAGGGAAGAAUGACUGCUACCAUAACGUUGGCAGUGGUUGAUAAUUUACACUUCCUCUAUAGCCUACUACCCCUUAAUAAAUAAAUAAAUAAAAAUAAAAGAAAGAAAUAAAGAGAGAAAUAAAAAAAAAAAAAAGGAAAGAGAAAGGAAAAAAAAAUCCACUCCCUUGAUAAUUAGUACCCUUUGUCAAAGCUUCAGUUACAAUUUGACGAGAAAAUAUUCCUAAAUGUCAAGAACCAUGCAGUCUGAUAAAUAUGGAUGACAUUUAAAAAGCAGAGGAGGUAGUUCUACAGAAGCAGAAGAAGCAAAAAGAAAUGCAAUAUGUAUUUACGGAAAGAAACAGUUUUUCCACCAUGUAUUCUCCUCAUAUAUUGACUGUUUUGUACUCCUGGUUCUUCUUUUCAAGAGCACUGUGAAGCUUUUGUCUCAUAUCAAAUGCCUUAGCUGCAUUUCUUCAUUAUAAAACAGCACAUUUCAACAGCCCAGGUCUUUCCACUUGUAAUCACUCAGUAUAAUUGAUUGAGAAGAUAGAGUCAGAGAAUCCUCCAAAUAUUUUAAUUCUUCAGAGUUGUUUAAAUUUAGCAAAAAAUGACACCCUGAGAAAAUGAAAUGGCACGUACUCAGAAAUUGCUAACUGUGAUAUAGAUCAAUCACAGCCCUUGGUGAUUACUCUUUAAACAAGUCUGUCUCACAAGCAGAUUCAAAGGAAUUGACCUUCUGAAUGUUAACAAACAGAAGGCAAGAUUCUCCACUUCUGACAACUUUAAAAUCUCUCUUGUUGGAAAAUCUGAAAGACAAAGCGUUUUUAGCAGGUGGAAUUAGAGAACUACGUUCUCCAUAUUUACCACUCUAGGGGUACAGGUAUUUUCAUUACUAAAGCCUUUGUUGGAACAAGACUCAUUAAGAAAGCUAUAAAAGAAUGGAAUAUUAUCGUGUAAUGAACACCUAAUUGAAAACUAAUGUGCAAUGAGAAAGAAAUAAACUUUGUGACGAUAGGAUUAGAAAUGUGUCUGACUACAAUGGCAGUAUUUGUAAGAUAGGAUGACAUGAAUUCAUCAUCUUCACUUCCAGAUCUAACAACCUCUCUGAUCUGAGAGCAUCAAGAAUGUAAAUGCAGUUAAACAACAAUUCCCCAUCUUAAACAACCAGCACUGAGAUUGUGCAGGUACUCCACCACUGUACUACUAUAGUUGCUUGGGUUUACUUGGGCAAUGGUAGUAGAAAAAAACAUAUCCUAUCCACUGUGUUAACUGUGAAGUAGAUGAACCAUACUUCCGGCUGGGUGUCUGAACUCUGUGAGGUUCCCUACUCUCUGAGCUACUCAACUAAGGCUACUUUUCUCAAACUUCUCAAACUGAACAAAAACCAUCCUGUAACACUGCGAAAAUGUGGUGGGAAAUUUUUCCCUGAAUCAAUUUCAUGAAGUUCCUAACUAUGUUUGACGUGUUUGUGAGGAUAAGAUUUAAAAAAAUACAUUUAUUUCAUAGUUAAUUUGAAUAUCAAACAAUGUAAAAUAAAUCUUGCUCAAAUUACUGUGUUAAUGAGUCUUGACCUUUAUUUUAAACUGACACAGCUUUCAGAUGAAGGCAGUAGUGUAAAGAACAGUUAUCACAAAUAUCAAAAUACGCUUACAUUUUCAUAUAUGAUCCACCUACCAAGAGUUUACUUAAUAAUCUUAAAGCUGAUGCAUAGCUCAUUAAAAUUGCUGCCCUUCAACCAUCUCUAAGACCUCCAUUGGUCUGAUGCACUAUCUCAAGUAUAUCUCCAACACCAUAUAGUUGGAAUCUCCAGUAUUUUGCACAGGAAAAUUACUGUGGUAUCGAUUCCAGAGUAACAAGAGACCCUCACAAAAAAUAUGUGGGAGAUUUACUGAGUGAACCAUUUCUGUACUCACAGACAGUUCAAUACAAUUUUUAAGGCAAUUUUUUUUUUCAUGCUCUUGCAAGUAUGAAGUUGGCCUGAAAACUUUUCCAUUGAUGCAUAUUGAAGGAAAGUAAGAGCCAUAGACUGUAGCAUUGCAGUGCUUCUCUGGUUUACAAGAGUGUUACAGUCUGGCCUCUGACAGAAAGGUAAUGCUUUAUUGGCAAAUAUUACUUAAAGGAGGAAUUUGUGUAUGAACACUGUAGUGGAAUACCAGGGUCACAGCCUGAACCAAUGGAUGGGCUACAUGAGUGUGUGGGUAUCUGGAGCGGGGUCUGGAGCCACCCCUUCUGUCUCUGCAAUACUUCCUGUGCAGUUUGAGUCUGCGCGGGUCCCCCUUUUGCUCCUGCCCCUCUCUCCAGCGGUGCGAUGGUACAAACGGAGGAGGCUCACUUUCCUCAGCUCAUCCCUCUCUCCACACUGUUACCGGGAGGGGUGAGUCAAUUCCUUUUUGAUAUCUUUUCCUCUAGUGCCUAUUUCUUAAAUAAAGGCUCUGUCAUUGCCUUCACUUGUUCUACAGCCACUGAAAAAAAAUGCACAGAACCCUGCAAAAUAAAGUGUAUUCAUACGUAUGCAUAUUUCUCUAACUGAUAAAUAAGGGAGAACAUGUAGAAAGAGAAAAAAAAAAAACGUGUAGUACUGAGUUUUUUUAAAGACACAGAUCUUCAAGCCCUCUCAAAAGUGCUGCAUCCAACCUUAU